UUAUGUUCAUAAAAAUUAAAUAAAAUGGCGGUAUCUUAUUCUUUUCAGAGGAACCUGUUUAAUAAAUGAUAAUCCACGAUUGAUUCUACUUAUAUUUUUAGUUUGUAUAUCGUCGUAAAAAGAAAAUUUUUAAAAAAUUUAAUUUUCUUAAUUUUUUAUUAAAAAUUACUUCAGAUCAAGGUACAGCUUAUAUAGAAGUUUAAAUGGGUUACUAUUUUGUUAUUUUAGGAUCAUUAAUUGAAAAUUAAUUUGAAUAUGGAUUUGAGAGUAAUAAUAAAUACAAAUUUGUUAUGAUUUAGUUCUAAGAUGUG
rnacentral:rRNA from 1 species